CCUACGGGCGGCUGCAGUGGGGAAUAUUGGACAAUGGGGGGAACCCUGAUCCAGCCAUACCGCGUGUGUGAAGAAGGCCCUCGGGUUGUAAAGCACUUUCAGUGAGGAAGAACGCCUGGUGGUUAAUACCCAUCAGGAAAGACAUCACUCACAGAAGAAGCACCGGCUAACUCCGUGCCAGCAGCCGCGGUAAUACGGAGGGUGCGAGCGUUAAUCGGAAUUACUGGGCGUAAAGCGCGCGUAGGUGGCUUGAUAAGCCGGUUGUGAAAGCCCCGGGCUCAACCUGGGAACGGCAUCCGGAACUGUCAAGCUAGAGUGCAGGAGAGGAAGGUAGAAUUCCCGGUGUAGCGGUGAAAUGCGUAGAGAUCGGGAGGAAUACCAGUGGCGAAGGCGGCCUUCUGGACUGACACUGACACUGAGGUGCGAAAGCGUGGGUAGCAAACAGGAUUAGAUACCCCGGUAGUC
rnacentral:rRNA from 1 species